rnacentral:rRNA from 1 species
AUAUCAGUCAUGCAUAGCAUAUCAAUAAGCGGAGGAAAAGAAACUAACAAGGAUUCCCUUAGUAACGGCGAGUGAAGCGGGAAGAGCUCAAAUUUGAAAUCUUCAAGGUUUUACCUUGACGAAUUGUAGUUUAAAGAAGUGUUUUCUGUUGAAGUUUUGGUAAAAGUUCUUUGGAAUAGGACAUCAUAGAGGGAUGAGAAUCCCGUAUUUGACCAUUACUUUCAGCUUUGUGAUACACUUUCAAAGAGUCGGAUUGUUUGGGAAUGCAGUCCAAAAUGGGUGGUAAAUUUCAUCUAAAGCUAAAUAUUGGCGAGAGACCGAUAGCGAACAAGUACCGUGAGGGAAAGAUGAAAAGAACUUUGAAAAGAGAGUUAAACAGUACGUGAAAUUGUCAAAAGGGAAGCGUUUGACACCAGUGUUGUUUUCUCGAAAAUCAAUUAAAAAGAGUUGGAUUUUGUGUUGUAUUGACUUUAUCAGCUUUCUUCACUCUUUUCCAGCUUUUUUUAAUGCACUUUUCGUUUAACAAGUCAACAUCAGUUUCUUUUGUUGUAAAAAGGUCAUUGGAAGGUGGCUUUCUCUUCGGAGAAAGUGUUUAUAGCCUUUGACUCAUGCAAUCGGAGAGACUGAGGUCUGCAGCGUAGAUCCUUCGGGGUUAGAUACAUUUGUGCUAAGUUAUAGCUUUUCAUAGACAACUUGUUGACUAUGUUUAGUCUUGUAGCUUACUCGCUUAUGCUAUUUUACCUACGCUUAGGAUGUUGAACUCUAUCACACACAG